GACAUAGGUGGCAAACGUUAUCCGGAAUUAUUGGGCGUAAAGGGUGCGUAGGUGGUUUAAUAAGUUACUGGUGGCAAAUCGGGGGCCCAACCCCGCGGAAGUCAGUAAUACUAUCGAACUAGAGGGUCGGAGAGGUUAACGGAACUCCAUGUGUAGCGGUAAAAUGCUCAAAUAUAAUGGAUGAACACCAAUCGGCGAAGGCAGUUAACUAUUCGAUUCCUGACGUUGAGGCACGAAAGCGUGGGGAGCAAGACGG
rnacentral:rRNA from 1 species